rnacentral:rRNA from 1 species
UUUAGUAGCCAUACCACCCUGCAACUCAUUGGCAACCCAUUAAAGCUAAGCAGGUAUGAGCCUGGUCAGUACCUGGAUGUGAGACCUCCUGGGAAAAACUAAGGCUGCUGCUGGAA